AACAGAAUGAAGAGCAGAAAAAAAGUGAUCCUUUUAAUUCAUGUUUGUCUGCUUUUGACAACCAAUGCUGAAUUGUAACAGCUUCAUUUGCCAUCGUCAUAUUGAGCCUAUUUUAAACGGUAUAUAGCAUACAAAACAUUGCAUUUUAAUAGUUCUCAGAAUUUGAUUAGGAUGUCACAGUACCCUUCAUGUUAUGUACAGCUCAGAUUUGAAUAUGAAAAUAGAAUGGCUGUGACAUUUGUUUGGGGCAUAUGCACCUUGGAAUCAAGCAAUCAUUUGAAACCUCCCUCCUCAGCCUGAGCCAUGAACCGGCUGACCUGGCUGUGUCAUUGUGUUCAGAACACAAAAUGUCCUGUCACACCGGUGUCCCAGAGGAGAGAUUGGCAUGUGUGUGUGUUUGUGUUUCUGAGAAUCAUAACCGCUGUUUUGUGUUCACUGAGGUGUGUCAAAGCGGAUUACCUGCCAGAACGGGGACCAGAGACGACUUUGUUAUUCAAACUGACUGUCCUUUGGGGUGAGGUAGUAGGUUGUAUAGUUUUAGGGUCACACCCUUCCUGUCAGAUAACUAUACAACUUACUGUCUUUCCUGAAGUGGCUGUAAUGUCUUCAGACGCCAUUGUCAAAGCGUUUAGAUCUGGAUCAACUCUGGAAUCUGUUUGUUUGUCUACAGACAGCUAAGAACUAGUCUGCAACAUUUGACUGACGUAAGUAUUUGCAAUAAAAGACGACAGGCUCAAUAGGUUCAUCUUUUUUUUUCAUGUUUUUUUUACGUUUUGAUGAUCUAUUUCAAAGACAGGUACGUCUAAGAGAAAUUAGUUCAUCAGAAAGUUGCAUGCAAACUCCUGCACAUGGUCUAACCUGCCAAAAUAAAUGUAUUGUACGGUUGUGGAAAUGUUCGACUUUGAUUCUGUUUGCCACCAAGUGUUGUUAAACGAUACAAUCUCUGUUGUUUUUAUUGUCAUUAGUAUAAAAAGGGACCAAAGCUUUAAAAAAAAAAAAAAAGUAAAGAUCUUCAGUCACAGAGCACCGUCUAAAUACUUCUGCAAUUUCUGUACCGAAGCGUUGCCAAAGUGUUUGCUCAAUUUAGACUGUGCAGGAGUUUGCUUGCAGUUUUGUGUAUUUGAAAAAAAAGACAUUACCCAGUAUUGAGUGUCGAGGGCUUCUAUUUUUGUUGCCAUGGUAACGAAAGAGGUAUCUAAAUAGUUUUUUUUUUUCUAGUAUUAUGUCUAAGGUUAAAAUUCAGGUAUUUUAACAACCCUUAUUUAUUGGCAAAGUUCCGAUUCCAGUCACCUGUUUACCGUCAUCAGGUAAACAGCUUGUCCUUUAACAGGAAGUGGCUACAAGCCUUCAACCAAUCAUCAUCAUCAUAUCAGGUCUAAGAAAUAAUAAUGAAACAACAAACAUGAGCUUCUUGACAUAUAUGUAAGAGGUAUUUUUAAUCUGUCAGGAAGCGGAUGCAUGCCAAUAAAUGUAAUUUACAGUUCUGACUGUAAUGUCAUCUGUCAUUGGAAGUAAGAGAUAUUAAGAGUAUUGAUCUUUUGAAAGUGUAAAAUGUAUGACGACAUGUUUAUUUAGAAUAAGAAAAAUGAGAAUGUGUUGGUAUGUAACUACCAGAAUUGGUGGACCAAAGUGCGUUGACCUAUGGGUCCUUUCUGAUGUUCGAACGGGGUGAGGUAGUAGGUUGUGUGGUUUCAGGGUAGUGAUUUUGCCCAAUCAGGAGAUAACUAUACAACCUACUGCCUUCCCUGAAGGGCAGCAAUACAUCAACAAACGGACAACAGGAAGCAGCAUCAUUCAUAGAAAAGAAAUCAACAAACCACGUCAACUUUCAGGACCAGGCUGCUUUUUGCUGCUUGAAAUGUAUUAAGAUUUGUGGGGCUUCUAUGCCUUUAUGUGGAUAGGACAGUGGAGAGAGAUCAUGUUGGAAAGCAGCUGAGGGUCAGAGUUGAACCUGAGCGACCUGCUUCGAGGACAACAACCUCUGUAUGUGGUGUGCAAUCUAACCGCUAGGCCAACAGGCACCCCACCAACUGAAGUGUAAAGAGCAGAGGAUGAGCAGGUAAAGUCUUUUCAGUAUCGUACUGAUUGAUUUGACUCUUUUGCUUUGAAAUUAAUAAAAAUAAAAAAAAUACAAUGAUGCAUCAGUUUGUCUCUGGUGUUUUUUU